AUUGAACGCUGGCGGCAGGCCUAACACAUGCAAGUCGAGCGAGCGGCGGACGGGUGAGUAAUGUAUGGGGACUGCCCGAUAGAGGGGGAUAACUUCUGGAAACGGUGGCUAAUACCGCAUACUAACGGAUAACCCAUAUGGGAUUAGCUAGUAGGUGGGGUAAAGGCUCACAUAGGCGACGACCUCUAGCUGGUCUGAGAGGAUGCUCAGCCACACUGGGACUGAGACACGGCCCAGACUCCUACGGAGGAAGCAGUGGGGAAUAUUGCAAAAUGGGCGCAGGCCUGAUGCAGCCAUGCCGAGUGUAUGAAGAAGGCCUUAGGGUUGUAAAGUACUUUCAGCGGGGAGGCGUUACCCGCAGAAGAAGCACCGGCUAACUCCGUGCCAGCCGCCGCGGUAAUGC
rnacentral:rRNA from 1 species